UACGUAGGGGGCAAGCGUUGUCCGGAAUCAUUGGGCGUAAAGCGCGUGUAGGCGGCCCGGUAAGUCCGCUGUGAAAGUCGGGGGCUCAACCCUCGAAUGCCGGUGGAUACUGUCGGGCUAGAGUGCGGAAGAGGCGAGUGGAAUUCCUGGUGUAGCGGUGAAAUGCGCAGAUAUCAGGAGGAACACCAAUUGCGAAGGCAGCUCGCUGGGACGUGACUGACGCUGAGGAGCGAAAGCGUGGGGAGCGAACAGG
rnacentral:rRNA from 1 species